CCGCCGCCGCCGCCUUUGCCACUGCGAGAACUGUAGCGGUGCGACCCGGGAUUCCCUCCUCUCGGCGCCCCACCCUCGACUCCUGUUCCGCUGAGCGCGCCCUCCCCGGCGGGCGGAGACUGCAGCGCCGGGGGCUGAGGAAAGGUGGGUGGCGAAGCGCCGCCGGGCGCUUGGUGGCCGCUGCCGCCGCCACUGCAGCUGUGCACGCCCGCCUCUCGGAGGAAACUUGAAGCCAGCAGUACAACCAUCCGACCUUGGGACUAGGGAAACGUGGACUUGGUGGGCUAUUCUGCGCUGAAGAGGCAGCAACGAGGGCUCGGUGGUAUUGGUGUUGGUCCUAGUGGAAUUGUCAAGAGGAUGCUUUUGAAGACCUGAUGCCUGGAGGUACAGCAGCCAUCUUGUGACCAUAAGGAGGAAAUCAACGCAUUAAGAAGGGAAAAGCUAAGAAGAUACAGAGAGCAGGGACCACUGACAACAUGAUCAAGCCACUCUACCAGGCCUUAACUUCCUAUUCCCUGACUUCUUAUUGAAAGAGACAAUAAAACUUCUCAUUUGUUUUAACCCAUAGAAGUAAGGCAUUCUGUUACUUAUGGGUGAACACAAUUCUUAACUGAUGCCAUGGUUUAAUGGGAGUAGGGAUCCUGGUAUGACAGGAAAUUGAG
rnacentral:lncRNA from 10 species